rnacentral:rRNA from 1 species
GGUUAAGUUAGAAAGGGCGCACGGUGGAUGCCUUGGCACUAGGAGCCGAAGAAGGACGGGACUAACACCGAUAUGCUUUGGGGAGCUGUACGUAAGCGUUGAUCCAGAGAUUUCCGAAUGGGGGAACCCACUAUCUUUAGUCGGAUAGUAUCCUUACGUGAAUACAUAGCGUGAGGAAGGCAGACCCAGGGAACUGAAACAUCUAAGUACCUGGAGGAAGAGAAAGAAAAAUCGAUUUCCUGAGUAGCGGCGAGCGAAACGGAAAGAGCCCAAACCAAGAAGCUUGCUUCUUGGGGUUGUAGGACACUCUAUACGGAGUUACAAAAGAAAGUUAUAAAUGAAGCGGUCUGGAAAGGCCCGCCAAAGACGGUAACAGCCCGGUAGUUGAAAUGGCUUUCCCUCCAGAGUGGAUCCUGAGUACGGCGGAACACGUGAAAUUCCGUCGGAAUCCGGGAGGACCAUCUCCCAAGGCUAAAUACUCCCUAGUGACCGAUAGUGAACCAGUACCGUGAGGGAAAGGUGAAAAGCACCCCGGAAGGGGAGUGAAACAGUUCCUGAAACCGUGUGCCUACAAGUAGUUAGAGCCCGUUAAUGGGUGAUAGCGUGCCUUUUGUAGAAUGAACCGGCGAGUUACGAUUUGUUGCAAGGUUAAGCGGAAAAAGCGGAGCCGUAGCGAAAGCGAGUCUGAAUAGGGCGCAUAAGUAACAGGUCGUAGACCCGAAACCAGGUGAUCUACCCAUGUCCAGGAUGAAGGUAAGGUAAUACUUACUGGAGGUCCGAACCCACGCACGUUGAAAAGUGCGGGGAUGAGGUGUGGGUAGCGGAGAAAUUCCAAUCGAACUUGGAGAUAGCUGGUUCUCUCCGAAAUAGCUUUAGGGCUAGCCUCGAGGUAAAGAGUCAUGGAGGUAGAGCACUGUUUGGACUAGGGGCCCUUCUCGGGUUACCGAAUUCAGAUAAACUCCGAAUGCCAUGUACUUAUACUCGGGAGUCAGACUGCGAGUGAUAAGAUCCGUAGUCGAAAGGGAAACAGCCCAGACCACCAGUUAAGGUCCCCAAAUAUAUGUUAAGUGGAAAAGGAUGUGGGGUUGCUUAGACAACCAGGAUGUUGGCUUAGAAGCAGCCACCAUUGAAAGAGUGCGUAAUAGCUCACUGGUCGAGUGACCCCGCGCCGAAAAUGUACCGGGGCUAAACAUAUUACCGAAACUGUGGAUGAACCUCUUUAGAGGUUCGUGGUAGGAGAGCGUUCUAAGGGCGGUGAAGUCAGACCGGAAGGACUGGUGGAGCGCUUAGAAGUGAGAAUGCCGGUAUGAGUAGCGAAAGAAGGGUGAGAAUCCCUUCCACCGAAUAUCUAAGGUUUCCUGAGGAAGGCUCGUCCGCUCAGGGUUAGUCGGGACCUAAGCCGAGGCCGAUAGGCGUAGGCGAUGGACAACAGGUAGAGAUUCCUGUACCAGUGCUAAUUGUUUAACCGAUGGGGUGACACAGAAGGAUAGGGAAUCGCACGAAUGGAAAUGUGCGUCCAAGCAGUGAGUGUGAGAAGUAGGCAAAUCCGCUUCUCGCGAAGCAUGAGCUGUGAUGGGGAAGGAAAUUAAGUACGGAAGUUCCU